rnacentral:rRNA from 1 species
GUGGUAAUGCCGGAUGCUCCGACUCCUCGCAUGGGGUGUCGGGAAAGAUUUCAUCGGUAUGGGAUGGGGUCGCGUCCUAUCAGGUAGUCGGCGGGGUAACGGCCCACCGAGCCUACGACGGGUAGCCGGCCUGAGAGGGCGACCGGCCACAUUGGGACUGAGAUACGGCCCAGACUCCUACGGGAGGCAGCAGUGGGGAAUAUUGCACAAUGGGCGCAAGCCUGAUGCAGCGACGCCGCGUGCGGGAUGACGGCCUUCGGGUUGUAAACCGCUUUUGAUCGGGAGCAAGCCUUCGGGUGAGUGUACCUUUCGAAUAAGCACCGGCUAACUACGUGCCAGCAGCCGCGGUAAUACGUAGGGUGCAAGCGUUAUCCGGAAUUAUUGGGCGUAAAGGGCUCGUAGGCGGUUCGUCGCGUCCGGUGUGAAAGUCCAUCGCUUAACGGUGGAUCUGCGCCGGGUACGGGCGGGCUGGAGUGCGGUAGGGGAGACUGGAAUUCCCGGUGUAACGGUGGAAUGUGUAGAUAUCGGAAAAAAAACA